rnacentral:rRNA from 1 species
GAUGAACGCUGGCGGCGUGCCUAAUACAUGCAAGUCGAGCGAACAGACGAGGAGCUUGCUCCUCUGACGUUAGCGGCGGACGGGUGAGUAACACGUGGAUAACCUACCUAUAAGACUGGGAUAACUUCGGGAAACCGGAGCUAAUACCGGAUAAUAUAUUGAACCGCAUGGUUCAAUAGUGAAAGACGGUUUUGCUGUCACUUCUAGAUGGAUCUGCGCCGCAUUAGCUAGUUGGUAAGGUAACAGCUUACCAAGGCAACGAUGCGUAGCCGACGUGAGAGGGUGAUCGGCCACACUGGAACGGGAACACGGUCCAGACUCCUGCGGGAGGCAGCAGUAGGGAAUCUUCCGCAGUGGGCGAGAGCCUGACGGAGCAACGCCGCGUGAGUGAUGAAGGUCUUCGGAUCGUAAAACUCUGUUAUUGGGGAAGAACAAAUGUGUAAGUAACUAUGCACGUCUUGACGGUAACUAAUCAGAAAGCCACGGCUAACUACGUG